CCUACGGGUGGCAGCAGUGGGGAAUAUUGCACAAUGGGGGAAACCCUGAUGCAGCGACGCCGCGUGAGUGAAGAAGUAUUUCUGUAUGUAAAGCUCUAUCUGCAGGGGAGAAAAUGACGGUACCUGAUUAAGAAGCCCCGGCUAACUACGUGCCAGCAGCCGCGGUAAUACGGAGGAGGCGAGCGUUAUCCGGUUUUAUUGGGUUUAAAGGGUGCGCAGGGGGAAGUUCAAGUCAGCGGUAAAAGUGAGAGGCUAAACCUCUUCGAGCCGUUGAAACGGGUUUUCUUGAGUGAGCGAGAGGUAUGGGGAAUGGGUGGGGUAGCGGGGAAAUGCAUAGAUAUAACGCAGAACUCCGAUGGCGAAGGAAGCAUACCGGCGCUAAAGUGACGCUCAUGCACGAAAGUGUGGGUAUCGAACAGGAUUAGAUACCCGGUAGUC
rnacentral:rRNA from 1 species